GAUGAACGCUGGCGGCGUGCCUAAUACAUGCGAGUCGAGCGAACAGACGAGGAGCUUGCUCCUUUGACGUUAGCGGCGGACGGGUGAGUAACACGUAGGUAACCUACCUAUAAGACUGGGAUAACUUCGGGAAACCAGAGCUAAUACCGGAUAAUAUUUCGAACCGCAUGGUUCGAUAGUGAAAGAUGGCUUUGCUAUCACUUAUAGAUGGACCUGCGCCGUAUUAGCUAGUUGGUAAGGUAACGGCUUACUAAGGCAACGAUACGUAGCCGACCUGAGAGGGUGAUCGGCCACACUGGAACUGAGACACGGUCCAGACUCCUACGGGAGGCAGCAGUAGGGAAUCUUCCGCAAUGGGCGAAAGCCUGACGGAGCAACGCCGCGUGAGUGAUGAAGGUCUUCGGAUCGUAAAACUCUGUUAUUAGGGAAGAACAAACGUGUAAGUAACUGUGCACGUCUUGACGGUACCUAAUCAGAAAGCCACGGCUAACUACGUG
rnacentral:rRNA from 1 species